rnacentral:rRNA from 1 species
CACGUAGGGUGCGAGCGUUGUCCGGAAUUAUUGGGCGUAAAGAGCUCGUAGGCGGUGUGUCGCGUCGGCCGUGAAAACCUGCAGCUUAACUGUGGGCUUGCGGUCGAUACGGGCAUCACUGGAGUUCGGCAGGGGGAGACUGGAAUUCCUGGUGUAGCGGUGAAAUGCGCAGAUAUCAGGAGGAACACCAAUGGCGAAGGCAGCACUCUGGGGACGUGACUGACGCUGAGACGCGAAAGCGUGGGGAGCAAACAGG